AUGAAACGAGAGCAGGUGUACCAGUACUUUUGUGCAUAUAAUGUAUUUUGUUGGCAUGCUGUGUGUUUUGGCAUUUCUCACAUGAGGUUAAAUAUGUUCAGGAGUGAUUUAAUAGUGAGCAGAUCAACUGACACUACAUUUAUCUUGCUGCAUUUUAAGGUCCUCCUGGCCCAGAGGGUCCCCGUGGAAUUCCAGGAAGUGGAGGGCAGAAGGGUGAUAAAGGCUUUCCAGGAAUACCUGGAUCACCUGGCCUGCCUGGAGAGAAGGGAGAAACUGGAUUUCCAGGCUCACCGGGCUCUUCUGGUGCCCCUGGAGUUCCUGGAUUUAAGGGAGACAGUGGUCUUCCAGGCGUUCCUGGAUUCCCUGGACCUAAAGGUAUUUCCGGACCAUCUGGAUCUUCUGGUCUUCCCGGUGACCCCGGUGACCCCGGUCCUCCAGGUGAGUGCACAAUGGUGUUUACUUUGUUUGCCAUCAUUUUCUUUUAUUCAGACGUCUCCUCUCAUUUUCUUUGUUCUUUUUUCGUUAGGCCCUCCUGGAAACCCAGGAAUAGCUCCAGGGCCCUAUGUUGUGAAGGGUGAGCGAGGGCCGCCAGGUCCCCCUGGCCCCCCAGGAGUCCGGGGCCCAGUAGGACCACCAGGGUUAGGGGGUCUGUCAGGUCAGUGUGUUACAAACAGCAGCUCAGAUCUGUACUGUACUAAGUGUAAUAUGACUAGUGUUAGACCUCUUUAA
rnacentral:lncRNA from 1 species